GUCUCGGCUAACUACGUGCCAGCAGCCGCGGUAAAACGUAGGAGGCGAGCGUUAUCCGGAUUCACUGGGCGUAAAGCGCGUGCAGGCGGUUCGGUAAGUUGGGCGUGAAAUCUCCUGGCUUAACUAGGAGAGGCCGUUCAAUACUACCGGACUAGAGAACAGUAGAGGAAGAUGGAAUUCCCGGUGUAGUGGUGAAAUGCGUAGAUAUCGGGAGGAACACCAGUGGCGAAGGCGAUCUUCUGGACUGUUUCUGACGCUCAGACGCGAAAGCUAGGGUAGUAAACGGGAUUAGAGACCCCGGUAAUCCUAGCCGUAAACGAUGUGAACUUGGCGUCGGUGGCUUAAACACUAUCGGUGCCGAAGCAAACGCGAUAAGUUCACCGCCUGGGGACUACGAUUGCA
rnacentral:rRNA from 1 species